CCGGCUCCUCGUCUCUCCCCGCGGUGGUUUGCUCUCUGAUUCCUGGCCGAGGUGAGCCUCUGCUCCUCAGAGGUGGAAGACUAUGGUAGACAGAAAACCAACCAUGGUGCUCGCCAUCAACAAACCUGGACCAAGGAAGUGCCUGUUUGUGCAAGGUGCCAUCUGGACACUGGAGACAGAGUGGUUUGUUCACUGGCUCCAGCACCGUUGGGAAGUAAAAACGUCCCCAUGAAAAGAGAGCAGACAUACAAGACUGCCCCAGGGACAAUGAAAAAGAGAGGACUCGGCCACUUGAGGGGGCCAAGCAUCGUGGGAGGGAGGACGCUGUCCAGGUGGGGGACACAGCCCAGCAAAGGCCCAGAUGCAGGAAUGGACAGGACCCGAGACGAUCCCGUGGGUCAAACUGGCUGUGGAGGAGGAGCAGGGCAGAGAGCAGGGGUCCCAGCAGCCCAGGCAGGUACAGGUCAGACUCCAGUGCCAAGCUGUGGAAUUCAGACUUCAUCUUGUAGAUAUCUAGCUGCAGAGAAGCUGUCGGAGCUGGCCCAUACCCCCAGUCUCCUCUCCACCCCGGAGUCGCCUGCAGAGAGUCCCUGCACUCAGCCUCUGUCCCUCCACCUGAGGACAUUUUCUGGACACAGUGAGACAGGCCAAAAGAAGGCCCAGGAGCAGCCCUCAAGCCAUAAGGAGUGGGAGCUGAUAGCUAAGCUCUGAGCUCCCUGGCCUCAGUGGGACAGCUCUGACGUGUCUUCCAGGGAGCCCCGACUGUCCCCAGGGAGGCCCGCCCCCCCCCAAGUGCACACUUUACCAGCUUUUCUGCUCUCCUGGCCCCUCUCCACUCCCUCGCCAUGCUUCCUGCAAUCUCCUUCCAAAGAAACUACAGCUCCCCCAUCCUUGUCUCAGGCUCUGCUUUGCGGGGAUCCCGACCAAGACACCAGCCUCCUGGUGGCUCCACGCCUACCACCAGGCUGCUGGAAACUCCUGGGAAAAGUGACUUCAGUAGCUCCAUGAUACGUUUGUGUGCAGGAAAGUGAAAUAUGGAAAUAGACAUUGAAGAAAAUGAAUGCGGGUUCAUCAUGGUCAAGGGGUUUAGCUGAGGCAAAGCUGGAGGCCGGGAGGCCACCACCCUCGUCUCUCUGAAGGAAGCCCAGGGGCAGGCUGGAGGUGGCCGUGGGAAGCAGGCAGGAAGAGGUGAUAAUUCCAAUACCUUGCAUAUAAAGUUGCAUGUUACCCACACAUGAAGCUUACAUUUUGAAAGACAAGGCUGGGAUACAGACUGUCUGGCUUCUGGUGUUCGAUUGAGGUUCUUUGUCAAAGGAAACUGAAGCGUGUUGCUGUUUGAAGCAAGGCAAGCUGCCACUUACCUGCCUGAGGUGUUUGCUUACGGAAGAUCUCACAUCCGUCCGACAGAGCAGGAGGGGACUUUCCAGCCACGUGCCCUGCCUGCUAUUAUUUUCUUUGACACGUUGAACACUCCACCUAUUUCCUUUGCAUCAUGUGGAUAUUUUUGUUUUUUGGGUUUUCUUUUUGUGUCCCAAGACGAUAUGUACUGAAAGUCUUCCCCUCUACCUUGGUGAGGAAGUGCCAUACAGAGAGUGACAACCCAACAAUGGGGCCUUUUCUCGGGCCUACUUCCUAAAGAGGCACAGAGUGGAAGGAGCUAGAGUGUGAAGGCUGAAGGAAAGACAAGGCAGACGAGCUUCCUCUACAGGUGGGAGACACACCACAGGCAUCUUCAGACUUACUUCGGUUGCUUCAGACAAAUUUAGACACUCCCAAGAAGAGAGAAAUUGUCUUUCUUUUUGUCUGGGUACAUACAAAUCCCAGGGAAGGACUCUGAUUGGCCCAGCUUGGGUCAUGUGCCCAGCUUUUGGACCAACCACUAUGGCCAAGAGGAUUGGGCAGGUAUGGGUGACAUGUCUAUCCCUGUGGCAGGGUGGGGUGACCAUCUUGUAAUCAGCAGCUCUGCAGAAUCACACAUUUGGGUUAGGGGAGAAGCAGUUCCCCAAGAAAGGAGAAAUACUGUUACCAAGAGAAGGAAGCAUUCAUUCCCCUUGGGCUGCAGAAAAAGGUCAUAAUUAACAUAAAACUUUUUAUUUCCCAACCAGCCCCAUCCCUAAUCCAAAUGAUACAUUGUACAAAUUAGAAAAAUUAGCCCCUUCCCCUAGACAUUUUGCUAUCAUGUGCCAGAAAAUUAUCAUCUUAAAUAUACUAAUCUAUAAUGACUUCAAAUGUGACUGGUGCCCAGAAUUGUGUAGUGCACAACCUAUACGACUGAAUGUAGCAGCCCUGCCCUCAGCUGUGCUAAUACCCUCCAAUUACUCCAGUCCCUCUGAAGACACGUUGUGCCCCAUGGAGCUGUGGGCAGUGGCCAGGCAGAGACCAAGGGGCAGAGCCAUAAAUGAAAAUGACAAUGGCUCCUUCACCGCUCCUCCUGUGCCCACAGAAAGGGAGCAGUGACCUAGUGACCAAGGGGACUGUGACCAGGAUUACAGGUGUGUAAUUACAGGUGUGACCAGGAGUUCCAGACAGUGACCAGCAGCAAAGCAAACUGGAGCCACAGCAGGGCUGGGAGUGAUGAGAGGGGACUCCAAGAAGCAGCUUCGGGGAGAUAACUUGGAAAGAAUAAGAGAAAAAAUGUUCGCUUUCCCUCUGAGUGCUAGAAGAAGCGGGACCCUUGCAAAGAAUCGCUGGGGAAGGCCGGCGCUUGGAUUACAUCAGUGACAAAACGACGUGGGAAUGUUUGUCAGAAAGAUGAGCAAGCAAAGCAGGAUGAAGAACCGCGCACAGAGGCUCCUCCACUUACAACGGGACUACAUCCCAGUAAGCCCAUCGCAAAGUCAAAAUCCCUAGUCAAACCAUCUGGAGUUGGGGACCCUGUACAGAGCACAGCAACGCUCGCACCUGGGUCUAGAAAACACCGCCCUGAGGGUGUGAGUGACUCUCCUCCAGGGUCACCCCAAGCAGGGCUGAGACUUCUCAAACCACAGCCAGGCCUGGCUCCCCAGGAGGGGCCCGGUGGAGACUCAGGCUGUGUCCACAGAGUCUGGCCGGAG